CGCACGGGUGAGUAACACGUAUGCAACCUGCCUGCCACAGCCGGAUAAUCGGGAGAAAUUCCGUCUAAUACGGCAUAAUGCAUCGACGGGACAUCCUGUUGGUGCCAAAGGUUAAUUCCGGUGGCGGAUGGGCAUGCGUCGCAUUAGUUAGUUGGCGGUGUAACGGACCACCAAGCGACGAUGCGUAGGGGUUCUGAGAGGAAGGUCCCCCACACUGGUACUGAGACACGGACCAGACUCCUACGGAAGGCAGCAG
rnacentral:rRNA from 1 species